GGAAGGAGUGGCUGCAGUCACCCGGGAAGUUGGGUGAGCUCAUCUCCAGGCCUGCCGAGGCCUGAGAAGGGUCGGCAUGCUUCGUGAUCCCAUGGUGCCACCCUGUGCUCACGGAAGACAAUGUACGGAGGCGCGUUCUGCGUGUGAGGCAUGUUUUCACCUGUCCACGAAGCUGGACAAGCCCUUCUCUGAUGCGGAGGCUUGUGAUGGUGCUCUGUGCCCUGUGACCGGACCGAUGUACACCGGGAGAAUGGGUGGACUGAUGUGCAGGGGAGCCCUGUGGAAGAGUCAUGCCUUCAGGUCUCCAUGAAGUUGGACUCCCCUUCUGCGAUGCAGAUGCACGCGACGCUGCGUUGAGCACUUUGACCGAAUGCGGGAACCAUGUGUGCACGGAUGUCCUAGCGUGUAGGGCCAGUUUCAGUGGAAGGGGUGCCUUCGGCUGUUCCGGAAAUUCAAUGGACCCUCCAGAGCUGCAGAGACCAUAGAUGGUGCGGUCUGCAUGGUUACCUGAGGGGGGCGACCUCUGCCAAAGCCACAGCAGGCACGGAGGUAAGCAUUGCACUGGUGAAGGGGGGGUUUCAGUGCAAGGGGCGGCCUCUGCCGCCCAGGAAGUUGGAGGAACUCAUCUCCAGAAGUGCAGAGGCCUGUGAAGGUGCGGUCUGCGUCAUGUCCCCAGGAUGGCACCCUGUGCAGCUGUAGGACAUAGAAGGGAGGGGAAUUUUCAGUGGAAGGAGUGGCUGCAGCCGCCCGGGAAGUUGGGUCAGCUCAUCUCCAGGCCUGCCGAGGCCUGAGAAGGGGCGGCAUGCAUCAUGAUCCCAUGGUGCCACCCUGUGCUCACGGAAGACAAUGUACGGAGGCGCGUUCAGCAUGUGAGGCAUGUUUUCACCUGUCCACGAAGCUGGACAAGCCCUUCUCUGACGCGGAGGCUUGUGAUGGUGCUCUGAGCCCUGUGACCGAAGCGACGUGCACCGGGAGCACGGGUGGACUGAUGUGCAGGGGAGCCCUGUGGAAGAGUCAUGCCUUCAGGUCUCCAUGAAGUUGGACUCCCCUUCUGCGAUGCAGAUGCACGCGACGCUGCGUUGAGCACUUUGACCGAAUGCGGGCACCAUGUGUGCACGGAUGUCCUAGCGUGUAGGGCCAGUUUCAGUGGAAGGGGUGCCUUCGGCUGUUCCGGAAAUUCAAUGGACCCUCCAGAGCUGCAGAGACCAUAGAUGGUGCGGUCUGCAUGGUUACCUGAGGGGGGCGACCUCUGCCAAAGCCACAGCAGGCACGGAGGUAAGCAUUGCACUGGUGAAGGGGGGGUUUCAGUGCAAGGGGCGGCCUCUGCCGCCCAGGAAGUUGGAGGAACUCAUCUCCAGAAGUGCAGAGGCCUGUGAAGGUGCGGUCUGCGUCAUGUCCCCAGGAUGGCACCCUGUGCAGCUGUAGGACAUAGAAGGGAGGGGAAUUUUCAGUGGAAGGAGUGGCUGCAGCCGCCCGGGAAGUUGGGUGAGCUCAUCUCCAGGCCUGCCGAGGCCUGAGAAGGGGCGGCAUGCAUCAUGAUCCCAUGGUGCCACCCUGUGCUCACGGAAGACAAUGUACGGAGGCGCGUUCAGCGUGUGAGGCAUGUUUUCACCUGUCCACGAAGCUGGACAAGCCCUUCUCUGACGCGGAGGCUUGUGAUGGUGCUCUGAGCCCUGUGACCGAAGCGACGUGCACCGGGAGCACGGGUGGACUGAUGUGCAGGGGAGCCCUGUGGAAGAGUCAUGCCUUCAGGUCUCCAUGAAGUUGGACUCCCCUUCUGCGAUGCAGAUGCACGCGACGCUGCGUUGAGCACUUUGACCGAAUGCGGGCACCAUGUGUGCACGGAUGUCCUAGCGUGCAGGGCCAGUUUCAGUGGAAGGGGUGCCUUCGGCUGUUCCGGAAAUUCAAUGGACCCUCCAGAGCUGCAGAGACCAUAGAUGGUGCGGUCUGCAUGGUUACCUGAGGGGGGCGACCUCUGCCAAAGCGACAGCAGGCACGGAGGGGGGGUUUCAGUGCAAGGGGCGGCCUCUGCCGCCCAGGAAGUUGGAGGAACUCAUCUCCAGAAGUGCAGAGGCCUGUGAAGGUGCGGUCUGCGUCAUGUCCCCAGGAUGGCACCCUGUGCAGCUGUAGGACAUAGAAGGGAGGGGAAUUUUCAGUGGAAGGAGUGGCUGCAGCCGCCCGGGAGGUUGGGUCAGCUCAUCUCCAGGCCUGCCGAGGCCUGAGAAGGGGCGGCAUGCAUCAUGAUCCCAUGGUGCCACCCUGUGCUCACGGAAGACAAUGUACGGAGGCGCGUUCAGCAUGUGAGGCAUGUUUUCACCUGUCCACGAAGCUGGACAAGCCCUUCUCUGACGCGGAGGCUUGUGAUGGUGCUCUGAGCCCUGUGACCGAAGCGACGUGCACCGGGAGCACGGGUGGACUGAUGUGCAGGGGAGCCCUGUGGAAGAGUCAUGCCUUCAGGUCUCCAUGAAGUUGGACUCCCCUUCUGCGAUGCAGAUGCACGCGACGCUGCGUUGAGCACUUUGACCGAAUGCGGGCACCAUGUGUGCACGGAUGUCCUAGCGUGUAGGGCCAGUUUCAGUGGAAGGGGUGCCUUCGGCUGUUCCGGAAAUUCAAUGGACCCUCCAGAGCUGCAGAGACCAUAGAUGGUGCGGUCUGCAUGGUUACCUGAGGGGGGCGACCUCUGCCAAAGCCACAGCAGGCACGGAGGUAAGCAUUGCACUGGUGAAGGGGGGGUUUCAGUGCAAGGGGCGGCCUCUGCCGCCCAGGAAGUUGGAGGAACUCAUCUCCAGAAGUGCAGAGGCCUGUGAAGGUGCGGUCUGCGUCAUGUCCCCAGGAUGGCACCCUGUGCAGCUGUAGGACAUAGAAGGGAGGGGAAUUUUCAGUGGAAGGAGUGGCUGCAGCCGCCCGGGAAGUUGGGUGAGCUCAUCUCCAGGCCUGCCGAGGCCUGAGAAGGGGCGGCAUGCAUCAUGAUCCCAUGGUGCCACCCUGUGCUCACGGAAGACAAUGUACGGAGGCGCGUUCAGCGUGUGAGGCAUGUUUUCACCUGUCCACGAAGCUGGACAAGCCCUUCUCUGACGCGGAGGCUUGUGAUGGUGCUCUGAGCCCUGUGACCGAAGCGACGUGCACCGGGAGCACGGGUGGACUGAUGUGCAGGGGAGCCCUGUGGAAGAGUCAUGCCUUCAGGUCUCCAUGAAGUUGGACUCCCCUUCUGCGAUGCAGAUGCACGCGACGCUGCGUUGAGCACUUUGACCGAAUGCGGGCACCAUGUGUGCACGGAUGUCCUAGCGUGCAGGGCCAGUUUCAGUGGAAGGGGUGCCUUCGGCUGUUCCGGAAAUUCAAUGGACCCUCCAGAGCUGCAGAGACCAUAGAUGGUGCGGUCUGCAUGGUUACCUGAGGGGGGCGACCUCUGCCAAAGCGACAGCAGGCACGGAGGCGGGGUUUCAGUGCAAGGGGCGGCCUCUGCCGCCCAGGAAGUUGGAGGAACUCAUCUCCAGAAGUGCAGAGGCCUGUGAAGGUGCGGUCUGCGUCAUGUCCCCAGGAUGGCACCCUGUGCAGCUGUAGGACAUAGAAGGGAGGGGAAUUUUCAGUGGAAGGAGUGGCUGCAGCCGCCCGGGAGGUUGGGUGAGCUCAUCUCCAGGCCUGCCGAGGCCUGAGAAGGGGCGGCAUGCAUCAUGAUCCCAUGGUGCCACCCUGUGCUCACGGAAGACAAUGUACGGAGGCGCGUUCAGCGUGUGAGGCAUGUUUUCACCUGUCCACGAAGCUGGACAAGCCCUUCUCUGACGCGGAGGCUUGUGAUGGUGCUCUGAGCCCUGUGACCGAAGCGACGUGCACCGGGAGCACGGGUGGACUGAUGUGCAGGGGAGCCCUGUGGAAGAGUCAUGCCUUCAGGUCUCCAUGAAGUUGGACUCCCCUUCUGCGAUGCAGAUGCACGCGACGCUGCGUUGAGCACUUUGACUGAAUGUGGGCACCAUGUGUGCACGGAUGUCCUAGCGUGCAGGGCCAGUUUCAGUGGAAGGGGUGCCUUCGGCUGUUCCGGAAAUUCAAUGGACCCUCCAGAGCUGCAGAGACCAUAGAUGGUGCGGUCUGCAUGGUUACCUGAGGGGGGCGACCUCUGCCAAAGCGACAGCAGGCACGGAGGGGGGGUUUCAGUGCAAGGGGCGGCCUCUGCCGCCCAGGAAGUUGGAGGAACUCAUCUCCAGAAGUGCAGAGGCCUGUGAAGGUGCGGUCUGCGUCAUGUCCCCAGGAUGGCACCCUGUGCAGCUGUAGGACAUAGAAGGGAGGGGAAUUUUCAGUGGAAGGAGUGGCUGCAGCCGCCCGGGAAGUUGGGUGAGCUCAUCUCCAGGCCUGCCGAGGCCUGAGAAGGGGCGGCAUGCAUCAUGAUCCCAUGGUGCCACCCUGUGCUCACGGAAGACAAUGUACGGAAGCGCGUUCAGC